CUUAGGUGCAGUCAUGAUCACACGGCGUCCGCGGCUGGCGACUGAGACUACGAGACAACGUUGAGGUUUCAAAGAUCACACUGAAGGAUCUCAUUAGCAAGAUGAAGUUAACUGCUCUCCUGCUGUUGGUCUCCUUAAGUCUAACGGCUGCCAUCGACUGCAUCCAUGACCAGCUCGCCUGUUCCAACGGCGAGAAGUGCAUUCAACAAAUGUACAUCUGCAACGGUUUCAACGGCUGCACCGACGCUUCUGACGAAGACCCGGAACUCUGCAGCGUAAGUGUGGCAGCGUAGA